rnacentral:rRNA from 1 species
GAGCGGUAGAGAGAAGCUUGCUUCUCUUGAGAGCGGCGGACGGGUGAGUAAUGCCUAGGAAUCUGCCUGGUAGUGGGGGAUAACGUCCGGAAACGGACGCUAAUACCGCAUACGUCCUACGGGAGAAAGCAGGGGACCUUCGGGCCUUGCGCUAUCAGAUGAGCCUAGGUCGGAUUAGCUAGUUGGUGAGGUAAUGGCUCACCAAGGCGACGAUCCGUAACUGGUCUGAGAGGAUGAUCAGUCACACUGGAACUGAGACACGGUCCAGACUCCUACGGGAGGCAGCAGUGGGGAAUAUUGGACAAUGGGCGAAAGCCUGAUCCAGCCAUGCCGCGUGUGUGAAGAAGGUCUUCGGAUUGUAAAGCACUUUAAGUUGGGAGGAAGGGCAGUUGCCUAAUACGUAACUGUUUUGACGUUACCGACAGAAUAAGCACCGGCUAACUCUGUG